rnacentral:misc_RNA from 1 species
GGGAAAAGUGUCAGAAAGGCAUCACAAAGGCCAAGGUCCUCUGCAAGGUGGUGUGUUGCACAUCAGUGGUCGUUCGUGAGUUGAUGACAUUGCAAGGACCUUCACAAGCUGCAGUGGGUCUGUUUUUAGUGUAGCCUGGUAUAGUGAGGCUCAAAAUCCUAAUUCUUAAAUUGAUAGCGAAUUUUCGAUGUAGGCGAGGAGUUGGGUCUGUCGAGAUGGGCAGCGAUUGUGAAGGUUGGCCAAGGAUGCUGAAUGGUCUCGUCGCAAGUGGUGAGAGAGGUGAACGUUGGGGGGAGCUGGGUAAGGUUAGAUGUGUAAUGGAAUGUUGAUGUUGGGGAAGAUGAGAAGCUGAGGGUAAGGGGUAGUUACAGACAGAGAUGUGGGGAGAGAACGAGGGAGAAGAGAUGAGAUAGA